CAGCAGCCGCGGUAAUACGGAGGAUGCAAGCGUUAUCCGGAUUAUUGGGGUUUAAAGGUGCGUAGGCGGAAUAGUAAGUCAGUGGUGAAAGCCUGCGGCUCAACCGUAGAAUUGCCAUUGAUACUGUUAUCUUGAGUAUAGUUGAGGUGGGCGGAAUGUGUAAUGUAGCGGUGAAAUGCAUAGAUAUUACACAGAACACCAAUUGCGAAGGCAGCUCACUAAACUAUCACUGACGCUGAGGCACGAAAGCGUGGGGAGCAAACAGGAUUAGAUACCCUGGUAGUCCACGCCGUAAACUAUGAUCACUCGUUGUUGGCAAUACAUCGUCAGCGACUGAGCGAAAGCAUUAAGUGAUCCACCUGGGGAGUACGGCGGCAACGCUGAAACUCAAAGGAAUUGACGGGGGCCCGCACAAGCGGAGGAACAUGUGGUUUAAUUCGAUGAUACGCGAGGAACCUUACCUGGGCUUGAAAGGGGAAUGACUUCCCGGGAAACCGGGAUUCUCUUCGGAGCAUUCUCCUAGGUGCUGCAUGGUUGUCGUCAGCUCGUGCCGUGAGGUGUCGGGUUAAGUCCCAUAACGAGCGCAACCCCUAUUGUUAGUUGCCAGCGGGUAAUGCCGGGAACUCUAACGAAACUGCCGGUGUAAACCGAGAGGAAGGUGGGGAUGACGUCAAAUCAGCACGGCCCUUAUGUCCAGGGCUACACACGUGUUACAAUGGUCGGUACAAAGGGCAGCUACUUGGUGACAAGAUGCUAAUCUCUAAAACCGGUCUCAGUUCGGAUCGAAGUCUGCAACUCGACUUCGUGAAGCUGGAUUCGCUAGUAAUCGCGCAUCAGCAACGGCGCGGUGAAUACGUUCCCGGGCCUUGUACACACCGCCCGUCAAGCCAUGGAAGCUGGGGGUACCU
rnacentral:rRNA from 1 species